rnacentral:rRNA from 1 species
AUUGAACGCUGGCGGCAGGCCUAACACAUGCAAGUCGAGCGGAAACGAGUUAUCUGAACCUUCGGGGAACGAUAACGGCGUCGAGCGGCGGACGGGUGAGUAAUGCCUAGGAAAUUGCCCUGAUGUGGGGGAUAACCAUUGGAAACGAUGGCUAAUACCGCAUGAUGCCUACGGGCCAAAGAGGGGGACCUUCGGGCCUCUCGCGUCAGGAUAUGCCUAGGUGGGAUUAGCUAGUUGGUGAGGUAAGGGCUCACCAAGGCAACGAUCCCUAGCUGGUCUGAGAGGAUGAUCAGCCACACUGGAACUGAGACACGGUCCAGACUCCUACGGGAGGCAGCAGUGGGGAAUAUUGCACAAUGGGCGCAAGCCUGAUGCAGCCAUGCCGCGUGUAUGAAGAAGGCCUUCGGGUUGUAAAGUACUUUCAGUCGUGAGGAAGGCGUUGUCGUUAAUAGCGGCAUCGUUUGACGUUAGCGACAGAAGAAGCACCGGCUAACUCCGUGCCAGCAGCCGCGGUAAUACGGAGGGUGCGAGCGUUAAUCGGAAUUACUGGGCGUAAAGCGCAUGCAGGUGGUUUGUUAAGUCAGAUGUGAAAGCCUGGGGCUCAACCUCGGAAUAGCAUUUGAAACUGGCAGACUAGAGUACUGUAGAGGGGGGUAGAAUUUCAGGUGUAGCGGUGAAAUGCGUAGAGAUCUGAAGGAAUACCGGUGGCGAAGGCGGCCCCCUGGACAGAUACUGACACUCAGAUGCGAAAGCGUGGGGAGCAAACAGG